rnacentral:lncRNA from 1 species
UGUGCGGCCAGGCGCUAAACCUCAAAGCACAUAACAAGUUACAUACUUCAUCUAAAAAUGAUCUACCUCCUAAAGCUCCCAGCCUUCUCAAACUGUACCACAUACUGGUUAUUUGAGCUCAAUUGCUCAGAUAUGUGGCCCAGGAAGGACAUCUCCUAUUCAAACUACCACACCAGCUUAUAUUUGUAGACUGUGCUUGAUGAGGGUGUUUUUAAAAUAGUAAUUGCCUCCAGAGUCAGGGUUUGGGCACCUCGGAGGUGACUUAAGGGAUAUAGUGAGGUGCUUUGCUGGGGUUGAGAACCCAACUCUGCAAGAUCAGCAUGUGUUCUUAAUUGAUAAGCCAUCUCUUCAGACCUAAUUUUGAGAAGUUCCAGUCUAACAUGAUGGAUGACCACACACCUGCCAAUUCCUAACAGUUUCUAGGACCACUCCAGGAGUGACUCCACAGAUAUUGCAGCUGGCCAUAAAGCGAGACAUGGAGAGGCUGGGGUUUGGCAUUAAACUCUAUGGAGGCUGCCCAAAAGCCACAUCCUCCUGCCUUCUUCCUACCAGGACACCAAUUCUGUGCAGCGCAUUAUCAGCUCACUGAGCCAGGAACACUUUUAUAUGACACACCUGUCCUGAGAACUCCAGUAAAGUUGUAGAUGUGCAUUUCUGGCUAAUUUCUUAAAAGAUAAAUCACACUGUGGGAAAGUUCUCCAGUGACUGAAGUGGACUGAAGUAAAAGUGAGCAAGACCGUGCCACACAACAUCCAUCAUGGAUAGCAAGCCAAGCAUACCAACGGUGAAAAUCACUUUCUCCCAAGGACUCAGAGGACAGAGAAGUUCAUAAAACUAUUAUAUUAUAAAACCUAGGAAACAAUAAAGUUACUAAUAGUGUAUAUACCAAGAUGUGUCCUCUUUGAAGAAUAUGUAAAGAAGGUCAGCAGAAUGAAUUAUUCAAUAAAAG